UAGGGAAUCUUCGGCAAUGGACGAAAGUCUGACCGAGCAACGCCGCGUGAGUGAAGAAGGUUUUCGGAUCGUAAAACUCUGUUGUUAGAGAAGAACAAGGACGUUAGUAACUGAACGUCCCCUGACGGUAUCUAACCAGAAAGCCACGGCUAACUACGUGCCAGCAGCCGCGUUAAUACGUAGGUGGCAAGCGUUGUCCGGAUUUAUUGGGCGUAAAGCGAGCGCAGGCGGUUUCUUAAGUCUGAUGUGAAAGCCCCCGGCUCAACCGGGGAGGGUCAUUGUAAACUGGGAGACUUGAGUGCAGAAGAGGAGAGUGGAAGUCCAUGAGUAGCGGUGAACUGCGUAGAUAUAUAGAGGAACACCAGUGGCGAAGGCGGCUCUCUGGUCUGUAGCUGACGCUGAGGCUCGAAAGCGUGGGGAGCAAACAGG
rnacentral:rRNA from 1 species